rnacentral:lncRNA from 1 species
ACCUGCACCGCCGCCCGCCAAGCUCGGUCGCCGCCACCGCGUUCCAACCUCCGUCGGCCAUCUCCGUCGCCCCAGUCCCGCCAAAUCGAGCUCAGGUGAGCCCCUGAACCUCUCCGGCAACUUGUUGCCUCAUCCCUGCCGGCGAACCGCCGGGGAUUUCCUCGCCGCCGCCGCACACGCCCCCGGGGACGACAUUGCAUCUUCCCCAUUCUUUCCAGGGGCCUGGGCGCAAAAACUCAUGGACCCCUGCGUGUUUAACCCGUAGACGCAGGGGGUAGGAUGCAAGUUUGCCUCGGCUUUUUAGUUUAAUAAUAGGACAAAAUAGGGUUAAACUUUGUAAAUGCCCAGUAAAUUGUAGAAAAAUCAUAAAAAUGCCAAAC